UACGUAGGGUGCAAGCGUUGUCCGGAAUUAUUGGGCGUAAAGAGCUCGUAGGCGGUCUGUCGCGUCUGCUGUGAAAACUCGGGGCUUAACCCCGGGCCUGCAGUGGGUACGGGCAGACUAGAGUGCGGUAGGGGAGACUGGAAUUCCUGGUGUAGCGGUGAAAUGCGCAGAUAUCAGGAGGAACACCGGUGGCGAAGGCGGCUAUCUGGACAGAGUCUGACGCUGAGGCGCGAAAGCUAGGGGAGCAAACAGG
rnacentral:rRNA from 1 species